rnacentral:rRNA from 1 species
AUUGAACGCUAGUGGGAUGCUUUACACAUGCAAGUCGAACGGCAGCGCGGACUUCGGUCUGGCGGCGAGUGGCGAACGGGUGAGUAAUGUAUCGGAACGUGCCCAGUAGCGGGGGAUAACUACGCGAAAGCGUAGCUAAUACCGAAUACGCCCUACGGGGGAAAGCAGGGGAUCGUAAGACCUUCCACUAUUGGAGCGGCCGAUAUCGGAUUAGCUAGUUGGUGAGGUAACGGCUCACCAAGGCGACGAUCCGUAGCUGGUUUGAGAGGACGACCAGCCACACUGGGACUGAGACACGGCCCAGACUCCUACGGGAGGCAGCAGUGGGGAAUUUUGGACAAUGGGGGCAACCCUGAUCCAGCCAUCCCGCGUGUGCGAUGAAGGCCUUCGGGUUGUAAAGCACUUUUGGCAGGAAAGAAACGUCGCGGGCUAAUACCCCGUGGAACUGACGGUACCUGCAGAAUAAGCACCGGCUAACUACGUG